GCCAUGUGGAUACUCUCUACAGGAGUCCACCCCUUUUACCUAUGGCUGUUUACUGAAACCUGAAGGAAGAAAAAGUCCCACCAGUAUUAAAAUACAUCAUGAAGAUUCUCCAGGCAGAGCUGUAGCACUGUUUCAACUGGGCUACUGGACAUCUGGAAACAAUCUCUGGGCAGAAAGAUUGGAACAGGGAAGACAUGGAAACGCGGGAGUUAGACCUGAAGCACGCUUGGAAGGCAUGAAAUAACUGUGGACAGCUUCAGUUCUGCAUUAAUGAUGCUUUCCCCAGUGAAUGUAAAAUUUCUCAAUGAAUUUAUGAGCCUCCCAGAUGCUGGAGCUGACCAAGGAUUGUCUCCCACUCUAUAAGUACUAAAAUGAUGCAGAAGAUGAGCUCGGAGGUGCUAAAUCAUCAUGGUUUAAUCCUUGUGAUUCAAGGAUUAGAAAACUAAGGGAACUAAUCCCCUGGUCAAUCACCCUAAUCAAACGCCCUUUGAACUAGACUUAUGCAGGAAUUCGAAUUAACAUAGCCUGAGGUCAGAAAUAUUAUUUUUCUGCUUUGUUUUUUUUUUCUCUUUUAAUGAAAAUACCUAAUCCCAAAUAACUCUAUGGCAAACCAUUUCUCAGCACUAUUGUCUAGAAAGAACUGUUUAACCAUUUGCCUCUUAAAAUCAUGCAUCAGUUUUUAUGUAAAAAGGAAUAUUUGAAUGGGUUUAAUUAUAAAAUAGAGGAUAAAAUAUAGAGGAUAAAAUAGAGGAUAAAACAAAGGAUAAAAUAGAGAAUAAAAGAAGAUGAGAUGUACCUCUAUUUAUUAUAGACCUUCGCUGUUUUAGAGUUCACCUUACUUUAAAAGAAAUUGCUUUUAAACCAUAUGAAUGAUACUUUAGGUUUCCUCUGUAGUACAUCAGUAAGCACUUUGGAAGCUCUGUGGGAUAAAGAAAUAAUCCAUACCAACUGUUCAGAACAAUAAAAAUAUCCUCUUGCUCUGUUGUGUUUCUAUCACCUGGCUGCUUGCUGUAAGGCCUCUUUCUUAUGAGUCACUGUGAGCAGGACAGUUUGCUCAGCUGAAUUACCUGCCAGAGUUCAG